rnacentral:rRNA from 1 species
AACGAACGCUGGCGGCGUGGAUAAGACAUGCAAGUCGAGCGGAAUAUAGAGGGUAGCAAUAUUCUUUAUGUUCAGCGGCGCAAGGGUGCGUAACACGUGGGUAAUUUGCCAUGAAGUUUG